CCAACAGGGAUUGCCUCAGUAACGGCGAGUGAAGCGGCAACAGCUCAAAUUUGAAAGCUGGCUCUUUUAGAGCCCGCAUUGUAAUUUGUAGAGGAUGCUUCAGGUGCGGCGCUGGUCUAAGUUCUUUGGAACAAGACGUCAUAGAGGGUGAGAAUCCCGUAUGUGACUAGCUGCCUGUGCCUGUGUGAAGCUCCUUCGACGAGUCGAGUUGUUUGGGAAUGCAGCUCAAAAUGGGUGGUGUACUUCAUCUAAAGCUAAAUAUUGGCCAGAGACCGAUAGCGCACAAGUAGAGUGAUCGAAAGAUGAAAAGCACUUUGGAAAGAGAGUUAAACAGUACGUGAAAUUGUUGAAAGGGAAGCGCUUGCAAUCAGACUUGUGCGGCGUCGAUCAACCUGGGUUCUCCCUGGUGCACUCGGCGCUGCUCAGGCCAGCAUCAGUUUCGGCGGUUGGAUAAAGGCCUAGGGAACGUGGGUUACUUCGGUGACUGUUAUAGCCCUAGGUGCAAUGCAGCCUGCUGGGACUGAGGACCGCGCUUCGGCUAGGAUGCUGGCGUAAUGGUUGUAAGCGACCCGUCUUGAAACACGGACCAAGGAGUCUAACAUCUAUGCGAGUUUUUGGGUGUUAAACCCAUAAGCGUAAUGAAAGUGAACGGAGGUGAGAACCCUUAAGGGUGCAUCAUCGACCGAUCCUGAUGUCUUCGGAUGGAUUUGAGUAAGAGCAUAGCUGUUGGGACCCGAAAGAUGAUGAUCUAUACCUGAAUAGGGUGAAGCCAGAGGAAACUCUGGUGGAGGCUCGCAGCGGUUCUGACGUGCAAAUCGAUCGUCAAAUUUGGGUAUAGGGGCGAAAGACUAAUCGAA
rnacentral:rRNA from 1 species